UUAUGGAACCGGGAAAAAUUCCCUCUUCUUUUCGCCCCUUUUUUUCCAAAGUGCACAAUUAGUUCCCUCUCUUCAACUCACAAAUUAGGGUUUAAUUUCCUUUCUUCAUCAUAGCAGGGCUCAAUUCCCUCUCAUCAUCAUCAUCUCUACAAAAUAUUUCGGCGCAAUCCGAACAAUAAAGGUGAUGCACAUCCAUCGCAAGAUAAAUCCUCCACCAGUGCAAAGGUCUGGUGUGUUGUAUGAUAGCAUUGAGGAGAAGCUACAACCAUUGAAGAAUAUUUGCGGCAUUGAAUCCAAUUGGAUUGAAACAAAAAAAUGGUAGCCUUCAGAACAAAUGAACACGGUUAGUUCAAUGACAUCUUGUUAUAUGGCUACAGGUAAAUGAAAACUAGAGAUAUAAGUCUAAACUAACAGCUUAAAUAAAUUAAUUGCCUAUGAAUUUCUUUUAUCCCUUAACACUAUUGUUUACAGAAUUAUACUGCAGUAUAAGAAAUAACAAAGAUCCCUGGCAUUCUUAUUGUGAGAAUUGAUUCUGCUAGCAACUUUUCCAACUCCAAUUAUAUGAACUACAGGUACUAGUUAUUUAGCCUACCAAUAUUAUUUUCUUAAAGUGUUGGGCUUUUGGAUUUGCAUGAGAGUGGUAGUUUUGAAGGAUAUUGCGAUAUGGUUAAUUGAUGAAGAAGAACAACUCAAAGAAACUAAUCAGCCAAACAUUAAAGAAUUUCGAUAGUUCAGAUGUCACAUAAGUUAUCUCCUAAAUUUUCAAUCAUUUCUUGUCCUUCCCCCAGAUAGUGUUAAGUAAUAUAGAAUAAUUUGUUCCAUAAUCUUUCGCAGUUGUUACUGAUACAUAUACUAGGGAAAUCCAUGCCUUUAAAGAUUUGAUAAAGAGGAUGAAAGUGAUGGAAAUAAUACAAAUUAUAAAGAAGAUGAGGGGGAACCCGAAGAUGAGUGAUUUUAUGUUUGGUUGGAUUGUUGUUUAGUUGGAUGUUAACUUUGAAUGUUACGUUUUGAUGUUUGGUUGGAUAGUUUUGAUGAUUGAUGGGAUAAUUUGGAUAUUUGGAUGCUUGAUGGGAUAAUUUGGAUAUAGAUUAUAAAGUUUUUUGUUGUUAAGUUGA